AUAGCACAGCUUCUUCGUCGUUCCAAUCAAACCAGGAUGAAUCACUUUGUGAGAAGCUUGAUUUGGAUACAUAAAGUGGUGGAGAAUCACCAGGAAGUUGAAUAAAUCUCAUAGGAGUUGGGAUGAAGAAGUUAUCCCACUUUCAAAUCAGGUGAUUCCAGUUUCCCAGUUUGGGAAUAGGACAGCUUAUUCGUCGUUCCAAUCAAACUGGAUGAAUCACUUUGUGAGAAGCCUUGGUUUGGAUACAAAAAAGUGGUGGAGCAAUCACCCAGGAAGUUGAAUAAAAUCUCAUAGGAGUUGGGAUGAAGAAGUUUACUCCACUUUCAAAUCAGGUGAUUCCAGUUUCCCAGUUUGGGAAUAGCACAGGCUUCUUCGUCGUUCCAAUCAAACAAGGAUGAAUCACUUUGUGAGAAGCUUGAUUUGGAUACAUAAAGUGGUGGAGAAUCACCAGGAAGUUGAAUAAAUCUCAUAGGAGUUGG